GACGAACGCUGGCGGCGUGCUUAACACAUGCAAGUCGAACGGAAAGGCCCUGCUUUUGUGGGGUGCUCGAGUGGCGAACGGGUGAGUAACACGUGAGUAACCUGCCCUUGACUUUGGGAUAACUUCAGGAAACUGGGGCUAAUACCGGAUAGGAGCUCCUGCUGCAUGGUGGGGGUUGGAAAGUUUCGGCGGUUGGGGAUGGACUCGCGGCUGAUCAGCUUGUUGGUGGGGUAGUGGCUUACCAAGGCUUUGACGGGUAGCCGGCCUGAGAGGGUGACCGGCCACAUUGGGACUGAGAUACGGCCCAGACUCCUACGGGAGGCAGCAGUGGGGAAUAUUGCACAAUGGGCGGAAGCCUGAUGCAGCAACGCCGCGUGGGGGAUGACGGCCUUCGGGUUGUAAACCGCUUUCGCCUGUGACGAAGCGUGAGUGACGGUAAUGGGUAAAGAAGCACCGGCUAACUACGUG
rnacentral:rRNA from 1 species